CGGAUAGCUCAUUCUACAAUUUCAAAAACUAUGCUAGAAUGAAAGGACUAUAUGCAACCUCUUGUCAAAUGCAAGCCGAGUGGCUCUAAAUAACUCGCACUAAUAGUGUGGUUGAGGCAAUCUCUUAUUAAAUACAAGUUGAGUGUCUUCAUUUACACGAUUUGAACGGUUGAGGCAACUUCUUGCCAAACACAAGUCAAGUCCUCUUGCAUUUUAAUGCGGUCGAGACAACCUCUAUAUCUAUAGAGGUUGCACCUAGUGACUUGCACCUAGUGACCGAAUGUUACUGCAUUCAUGCACUACUUGCAUUUACACGAUGUUUUAGUAGUUGUUCAAAUGCAUCAUGUGUGUGGAAUCUGUUUUCGAUAAUUCUUACUCAAUGUUUCAUUUAGAUCACCUAUAGCCUCGAGUCAAUCAUCAUGUGUUGUUGAUGAGUUGCAAAUCGAAGCCCCAACUUGUUGGUGUGGGUUGAAAACCCCAUUGAAGACCUCCCAUACUAACAAAAAUUCUAGAAGAAAAUUUUACGCCUGCCCGAAGUAUAACGAGGGAGAAGAAAUGUGUCAAUUCUUUAUAUGGGAAGAUAUACUUCAAUUGGUAGAGGAGAAAAUACGCACAAGAGAGAAUGUAGCUUGAAAAAGGGAGGAUGAUUUACUGUUGCGCGAGUAUGAAGUUCAGAAAACAAAAGAUAAACUAGUUGAGAGAGAGAAUGUUCUUUACAAGCAAGAGAAGAAAAUUAGAAAACAACUCG